rnacentral:rRNA from 1 species
AUUGAACGCUGGCGGCAGGCCUAACACAUGCAAGUCGAGCGAGCGGCGGACGGGUGAGUAAUGUAUGGGGACUGCCCGAUAGAGGGGGAUAACAACUGGAAACGGUAGCUAAUACCGCAUACUAUCGGAUAACCCAUAUGGGAUUAGCUAGUAGGUGAGGUAAGGGCUAACCUAGGCGAAGAUACCUAGCUGGUCUGAGAGGAUGAUCAGCCAAACUGGGACUGAGACACGGCCCAGACUCCUAGGGAGGAAGCAGUGGGGAAUAUUGCACAAUGGGCGCAAGCCUGAUGCAGCCAGGCGGCGUGUAUGAAGAAGGCCCUAGGGUUGUAAAGUACUUUCAGUCGGGAGGCGUUACCGACAGAAGAAGCACCGGCUAACUCCGUGCCAGCCGCCGCGGUAAUAC